rnacentral:rRNA from 1 species
GAUGAACGCUGGCGGCGUGCCUAAUACAUGCAAGUCGAGCGAACGGACGAGAAGCUUGCUUCUCUGAUGUUAGCGGCGGACGGGUGAGUAACACGUGGAUAACCUACCUAUAAGACUGGGAUAACUUCGGGAAACCGGAGCUAAUACCGGAUAAUAUUUUGAACCGCAUGGUUCAAAAGUGAAAGACGGUCUUGCUGUCACUUAUAGAUGGAUCCGCGCUGCAUUAGCUAGUUGGUAAGGUAACGGCUUACCAAGGCAACGAUGCAUAGCCGACCUGAGAGGGUGAUCGGCCACACUGGAACUGAGACACGGUCCAGACUCCUACGGGAGGCAGCAGUAGGGAAUCUUCCGCAAUGGGCGAAAGCCUGACGGAGCAACGCCGCGUGAGUGAUGAAGGUCUUCGGAUCGUAAAACUCUGUUAUUAGGGAAGAACAUAUGUGUAAGUAACUGUGCACAUCUUGACGGUACCUAAUCAGAAAGCCACGGCUAACUACGUGCCGGCAGCCGCGGUAAUACGUAGGUGGCAAGCGUUAUCCGGAAUUAUUGGGCGUAAAGCGCGCGUAGGCGGUUUUUUAAGUCUGAUGUGAAAGCCCACGGCUCAACCGUGGAGGGUCAUUGGAAACUGGAAAACUUGAGUGCAGAAGAGGAAAGUGGAAUUCCAUGUGUAGCGGUGAAAUGCGCAGAGAUAUGGAGGAACACCAGUGGCGAAGGCGACUUUCUGGUCUGUAACUGACGCUGAUGUGCGAAAGCGUGGGGAUCAAACAGGAUUAGAUACCCUGGUAGUCCACGCCGUAAACGAUGAGUGCUAAGUGUUAGGGGGUUUCCGCCCCUUAGUGCUGCAGCUAACGCAUUAAGCACUCCGCCUGGGGAGUACGACCGCAAGGUUGAAACUCAAAGGAAUUGACGGGGACCCGCACGAGCGGUGGAGCAUGUGGUUUAAUUCGAAGCAACGCGAAGAACCUUACCAAAUCUUGACAUCCUUUGACAACUCUAGAGAUAGAGCCUUCCCCUUCGGGGGACAAAGUGACAGGUGGUGCAUGGUUGUCGUCAGCUCGUGUCGUGAGAUGUUGGGUUAAGUCCCGCAACGAGCGCAACCCUUAAGCUUAGUUGCCAUCAUUAAGUUGGGCACUCUAAGUUGACUGCCGGUGACAAACCGGAGGAAGGUGGGGAUGACGUCAAAUCAUCAUGCCCCCUAUGAUUUGGGCUACACACGUGCUACAAUGGACAAUACAAAGGGCAGCGAAACCGCGAGGUCAAGCAAAUCCCAUAAAGUUGUUCUCAGUUCGGAUUGUAGUCUGCAACUCGACUACAUGAAGCUGGAAUCGCUAGUAAUCGUAGAUCAGCAUGCUACGGUGAAUACGUUCCCGGGUCU